GCCGGGCAUGGUGGCAUACGCCUGUAAUCCCGUCAGCUUGGGAGGCUGGGGCAGGAGGAUCAUGAGGUCAAUGACAGCUUCAGCAAUGGCGAGGCACUAAGCAACUCAGUGAGACCCUGUCUCUA
rnacentral:sRNA from 1 species